rnacentral:tmRNA from 1 species
GGGGCUGUAUUUGGUUUCGACAGGUCAUUGAAAGAGGAGAUUGCAAGUACUUAACGUACUCUGGGAAGUUAAAAAGCGAGUACAAAUUAAAAAUAAACGCUAACGAAGAAUUAGUAGCUGCCUAGUCAAUUGGGCACGUCACCUAAAGAAGUCUACUGGCUUUAGAAUGGCGUCAUUAAAGUAGAUAUAACAUUAUGAAGUAAUCUUGGUAAUAAUGUGGAAACAAGUUAAAAGAUACGCUUUAUAAACUUUUGUUAAUUGUAGGAUGUAAAGUAAGGGUAAACAAUUAAAUAAACUUGUAGAUAUUGAUUUAGAAGAUGGUUUGGACAGGGGUUCGACUCCCCUCAGCUCCACCA